rnacentral:rRNA from 1 species
AGUGAACGCUGGCGGUAGGCCUAACACAUGCAAGUCGAACGGCAGCACAGUAAGAGCUUGCUCUUACGGGUGGCGAGUGGCGGACGGGUGAGGAAUACAUCGGAAUCUACUUUUUCGUGGGGGAUAACGUAGGGAAACUUGCGCUAAUACCGCAUACGACCUACGGGUGAAAGCAGGGGAUCUUCGGACCUUGCGCGAUUGAAUGAGCCGAUGUCGGAUUAGCUAGUUGGCGGGGUAAAGGCCCACCAAGGUGACGAUCCGUAGCUGGUCUGAGAGGAUGAUAAGCCACACUGGAACUGAGACACGGUCCAGACUCCUACGGGAGGCAGCAGUGGGGAAUAUUGGACAAUGGGCGCAAGCCUGAUCCAGCCAUACCGAGUGGGUGAAGAAGGCCUUCGGGUUGUAAAGCCCUUUUGUUGGGAAAGAAAAGCAGCAGGUUAAUACCCCGCUGUUCUGACGGUACCCAAAGAAUAAGCACCGGCUAACUUCGUG